GAAAAUCAUGCAGGGUAGUGGGCGCUAGAGUGGAAUGGUGACCGUCAAUGUUUACUCAGUCUCUGUUCAUCGAGUCGGGCUGAUGUAGAUGAGAUGGGAGAGGCAGGCAGGGAUGAGGGCAUUCAUAGAGCUCUGUGUAGUGACAGUUCUUGCUUGGCUUUAUUAGUUUGCAGUGGAAUUGUCCAGGAGCCCCAGCCGGAUGAGAAUGUCAGAAGUGGAACUGAGCAGCCUGGAUAUCCUUCUAAGGAAACAAGAAUAGUUCUCAGGUUUCUGCCUUCUGCAUAACUGACUUACCAAGCAAAAAGACGUCACAUGUCAAAGUCUACUGCCCUUAUGAGUGAGAGUGACGAGACUGCGAGCGUUGUUGGUGCCAGGCAGGAGCUGUCCCUCUGGGAGCAGAACAGCUGCUACUAUCACUGAGAUAAGUAUCUGUUUUGCUGAGGGUUCUGCUCACGGCCCACCUGGCUACAGGUAGAGACACCCCGUUAGGUGGGGCUGGGUUUGUAAGAAAAGGUUCCUGACUAGCUGUGGUUUUGAGGGAGACACGGUCCCCAUUUUCAGCGACUGAUCAUUUCUCUGGCCAGGAUCGGUGUGUCCUCGGCAGGAGAAGGUUAGAUCCAUGAGGGAUGACUCCAGGUGAGGAAUUGUCCAGGAGCAGCAGCUGAAGGAGAAAGCGGCAGACGCAGACCUGAG